rnacentral:rRNA from 1 species
UAGGAUGAACGCUAGCUACAGGCUUAACACAUGCAAGUCCAUGGGCAGCAUUUUAGUUUGCUUGCAAACUGAAGAUGGCGACCGGCGCACGGGUGAGUAACACGUAUCCAACCUGCCGAUAACUCCGGGAUAGCCUUUCGAAAGAAAGAUUAAUACCGGAUAGCAUACGAAUAUCGCAUGAUAUUUUUAUUAAAGAAUUUCGGUUAUCGAUGGGGAUGCGUUCCAUUAGUUUGUUGGCGGGGUAACGGCCCACCAAGACUACGAUGGAUAGGGGUUCUGAGAGGAAGGUCCCCCACAUUGGAACUGAGACACGGUCCAAACUCCUACGGGAGGCAGCAGUGAGGAAUAUUGGUCAAUGGGCGCGAGCCUGAACCAGCCAAGUAGCGUGAAGGAUGAAGGCUCUAUGGGUCGUAAACUUCUUUUAUAUGGGAAUAAAGUUUUCCACGUGUGGAAUUUUGUAUGUACCAUAUGAAUAAGGAUCGGCUAACUCCGUGCCAGCAGCCGCGGUAAUACGGAGGAUCCGAGCGUUAUCCGGAUUUAUUGGGUUUAAAGGGAGCGUAGGUGGAUUGUUAAGUCAGUUGUGAAAGUUUGCGGCUCAACCGUAAAAUUGCAGUUGAAACUGGCAGUCUUGAGUACAGUAGAGGUGGGCGGAAUUCGUGGUGUAGCGGUGAAAUGCUUAGAUAUCACGAAGAACUCCGAUUGCGAAGGCAGCUCACUAGACUGUCACUGACACUGAUGCUCGAAAGUGUGGGUAUCAAACAGGAUUAGAUACCCUGGUAGUCCACACAGUAAACGAUGAAUACUCGCUGUUUGCGAUAUACAGUAAGCGGCCAAGCGAAAGCAUUAAGUAUUCCACCUGGGGAGUACGCCGGCAACGGUGAAACUCAAAGGAAUUGACGGGGGCCCGCACAAGCGGAGGAACAUGUGGUUUAAUUCGAUGAUACGCGAGGAACCUUACCCGGGCUUAAAUUGCAACAGAAUAUAUUGGAAACAGUAUAGCCGUAAGGCUGUUGUGAAGGUGCUGCAUGGUUGUCGUCAGCUCGUGCCGUGAGGUGUCGGCUUAAGUGCCAUAACGAGCGCAACCCUUAUCUUUAGUUACUAACAGGUCAUGCUGAGGACUCUAGAGAGACUGCCGUCGUAAGAUGUGAGGAAGGUGGGGAUGACGUCAAAUCAGCACGGCCCUUACGUCCGGGGCUACACACGUGUUACAAUGGGGGGUACAGAAGGCGGCUACCUGGUGACAGGAUGCUAAUCCCAAAAACCUCUCUCAGUUCGGAUCGAAGUCUGCAACCCGACUUCGUGAAGCUGGAUUCGCUAGUAAUCGCGCAUCAGCCAUGGCGCGGUGAAUACGUUCCCGGGCCUUGUACACACCGCCCGUCAAGCCAUGAAAGCCGGGGGUACAAGAAGUACGUAACCGCAAGGAGCGU